UACGGGGGGUGCAAGCGUUGUUCGGAAUUAUUGGGCGUAAAGCGCACGUAGGCGGAUCUGUAAGUCGAUUGUGAAAGCCCUGGGCUUAACCUGGGAAUUGCAGCCGAAACUGCAGACCUCGAAUGCUUGAGAGGAUGACGGAAUUCCUGGUGUAGAAGUGAAAUUCGUAGAUAUCAGGAGGAACACCCGAGGCGAAGGCGGUUAUCUGGCAAUGCAUUGACGCUGAGGUGCGAAAGCGUGGGUAGCAAACAGG
rnacentral:rRNA from 1 species